GACGAACGCUGGCGGCGUGCUUAACACAUGCAAGUCGAACGGAAAGGCCCUGCUUUUGUGGGGUGCUCGAGUGGCGAACGGGUGAGUAACACGUGAGUAACCUGCCCUUGACUUUGGGAUAACUUCAGGAAACUGGGGCUAAUACCGGAUAGGAGCUCCUGCUGCAUGGUGGGGGUUGGAAAGUUUCGGCGGUUGGGGAUGGACUCGCGGCUUGUCAGCUUGUUGGUGGGGUAGUGGCUUACCAAGGCUUUGACGGGUAGCCGGCCUGAGAGGGUGACCGGCCACAGUGGGACUGAGAUACGGCCCAGACUCCUACGGGAGGCAGCAGUGGGGAAUAUUGCACAAUGGGCGGAAGCCUGAUGCAGCAACGCCGCGUGCGGGAUGACGGCCUUCGGGUUGUAAACCGCUUUCGCCUGUGACGAAGCGUGAGUGACGGUAAUGGGUAAAGAAGCACCGGCUAACUACGUG
rnacentral:rRNA from 1 species